rnacentral:rRNA from 1 species
CCUACGGGUGGCAGCAGUGGGGGAUAUUGCUCAAUGGGCGGAACCCUGAUCCAGCGACGCCGCGUGGGUGAAGGAGCGUUUCGGCGCGUAAAGCCCUAUCGGCAGGGAAGAAGAUGACGGUACCUGAGCCAGAAGCACCGGCUAACUACGUGACAGCAGGCGCGGUAAUAUGCAGGGGGCAAGGGUUAUCCGGAGUUACGGGGGGUAAAGGGGGCGCAGAAGGGAGUGAAAGCCAGGGGGGAAAGCCUGGGGCCCAACCCCUGGACUGCACUUGAAACUGGCUGGCUGGAGUACAGGUGGGGCAGGCGGAAUGCGUGGUGUAGCGGUGAAAUGCUUAGAUAUUAGGAAGAACACCGGUUGCGAAGGCGGCCUACUGGACUGUGACUGACGUUGAGGCCCGAAAGCGUGGGUAGCAAACAGGAUUAGAUACCCGGGUAGUC